UACGUAGGGUCCAAGCGUUAUUCGGAAUUACUGGGCGUAAAGCGUGCGCAGGCGGCUUCGCAAGUCAGACGUGAAAUCCCCGGGCUUAACUUGGGAAUGGCGUUUGAAACUACGGAGCUGGAGUGUGGCAGAGGGAGGUAGAAUUCUACGUGUAGCGGUGAAAUGCGUAGAUAUGUGGAGGAAUACCGAUGGCGAAGGCAGCCUCCUGGGCCAACACUGACGCUCAUGCACGAAAGCGUGGGGAGCAAACAGG
rnacentral:rRNA from 1 species